rnacentral:rRNA from 1 species
GUGCCAGCAGCCGCGGUAAUACGGAGGGUGCGAGCGUUAUUCGGAAUUACUGGGCGUAAAGCGCGUGUAGGCGGCCAACCAAGUCUGAUGUGAAAGCCCUGGGCUUAACCUGGGAAGUGCAUUGGAAACUGGCUGGCUUGAGUACUGGAGAGGAAGGGGGAAUUCCCGGUGUAGAGGUGAAAUUCGUAGAGAUCGGGAGGAAUACCAGUGGCGAAGGCGCCCUUCUGGACGGUUACUGACGCUGAGACGC